CCAGUUCAACAACUCUGGGGUCCACUGUCCGGGUUGGUAAGAAUAAACCCUAUGAAUAGCUGGCGGUUAGCUCAUCACGCCUUGUGUGAAUUGUUCUCUUGUUAUGUUCUGGGGAGUAGCGAGUCUGGAAAUGAUAUCGGUGGGCAAGAAACGCCAAUGCCAACAGCGGUCAUCAUGCUGAUGACGACGGCGGUGACGCCAGCUAUAUUUAUCGCACGCUCACUAGGUUCCGGCCACCCUGAAGUAUUACACAUACACCGACAUUUAGUUCCGACAACAGCCCGGGAAAGGAAAACGCUUAUUAUGCCUGUUUUUCAGGGUCAGGCUGGAGCCGGUGUUAUUGUUGUUAAAUUUAGAUCGGGAACUAUAUUGGGCCCGACCUGGUGUCCACAAGCUUUCACUUCUUAAAACAGGAAGGAAGGCCCCAGCUGGGCAGUUUCAGAGCGCCAAGAAGCUUCUCCGGAGACCUCAGGGAAAUGCGUUUAGCUGGAAACCACUGGAGGUGCGUGGGAGGGACCGGAUUCAGGGAGCGUCUUCGCGUGGUGGCUGAAUUGAAAGAUUUUUCCCCGACCUUCUGGAUACCCCGAAGACCCCCACUAAGUUUGUCCCAAGAAGUGUUCCGUUCCUCUGUCACUUGCCAGGUGGCUUUCUUGCCGUGUCUCCGACGCACCAGACACACUCCGGCCUCCGUGCUUCUCUUGUCUAGAAACCGUCUUCCCGUUGAGAUGUCCGCACGACCUACUUCCUUAUCGUCUUAGCUCGAAUGACCACUUGGGUCGUAAUCGGCCUUCUCCGGCUCCGUCUCCAAGAUCGCAUCCCUCCCCUGCCUGCAGCACGGUCUGCCCCCCUCUGAGUUUUCCGGGUGGCAUUCACUGGCAUUCGAAUACAUCUGGCCUACCGUACCGUUCAUCAGUUCAUCUUGCUACUUGCUCUCCCCCCCACGCCCAUCCCCCGCCCGCUACUAGACCGUGAACUCCUGAGGGCAGAAACUUGGAUGGUUAGCUUUACGCCGUGUUCCCCAGUACGCGACGCAUAGCAAGCUUACAGCAAAUGUGCGUGGGAUGAAUUCCUGAGUGAAUGAAGACCGAAGGCAUCCAGGCAAGGAAGGACGUGUCCGCUUUUCCCGUUGGUUUUGCCAUAGGUAGCUCCUAGAAAGUUCUUGGUCCCCCUCCAGUUGGAGAAGCUAAGGGCUCAGAGAGGCAGACACUCUUCUGAAGGUCACACGGCUGAGGACGGCAGGCACGUAGACAGCACCCGCUACCUGCCGAGGACUGUGCUAGACCUUUCAGUGUUUCGGAGGCGUGUGUUAGUUUCCGGGGGCUGCAGUGAACAAGGGCGUGGGGCGCCCGGGGGGGCUCAGUCGGUUAAGCGUCCAACUCUCGACCUCGGCGCAGGUCGUGAUCUCACGGUCCGUGAGUUGGAGCCCCUCGUCGGGCUCUGCGCUGAAA